UACGAGGGGGGCAAGUGUUGUUCGGAAUUACUGGGCGUAAAGGGCGCGCAGGCGGCUCAUUUUGUCAGGCGUGAAAGCCCCGGGCUUAACCUGGGAGGUGCGUUUGAUACGGAUGGGCUAGAGUUCGGGAGAGGAGAGUGGAAUUCCCAGUGUAGAGGUGAAAUUCGUAGAUAUUGGGAAGAACACCGGUGGCGAAGGCGGCUCUCUGGACCGAGACUGACGCUGAGGCGCGAAAGCGUGGGGAGCAAACAGG
rnacentral:rRNA from 1 species